rnacentral:tmRNA from 1 species
GGGGGCGAUCGGUUUCGACGGGGAAUCGUAGGUCUUGGGAGCAUGCCGAGGUCGGCACCUCGUUAAUUAGCCGGCAAAUAGUAACUGCAAACGAAGAAUUUGCACUCGCUGCUUAAUUGACGGCGACGCACGAAGUGAGGCCUGCUCACGGCUGACCCUAGUGCGCCAAACAAUAGUGAGCCAAGCCCUUUGAACCGCCUUGAACAAAGGGAUUGAAACCUAAAGGCUUACCUGCCGGCAGGGCUGUCCGUGGUCACGGUGGCAGGAAAACCUAAACACGGAACAAGCAUGUAGCGCCUUUGGCUGUAAGUUUUUCGGACGCGGGUUCGAUUCCCGCC